CACAAAAGAAACAGUAUAUAAGCAGUGAUCUUACAGCUGUUCAGCACCUUCUCACUGGAAGGCUAAAGCUACGUGUUGGUGCUGAAAAGAAGUCUAUUCUUCAAAUAUUCUGCAUAUUCUCCAGAAGUGAUAUUAAACAUCGCCAUGAAGCUGCUGAUUGUGUUUGCACUUCUUUGUGUAAUGAUCCCUCUGAUCAUUUCUGCUGAGAAGAGAAGCUUGUGUGGCAGAUGUUGGUCUGUCUGCUGGGGUGGACGUCAGUCUGGUGGUACCAACAACAUGGGCGGAGGUCAGACUGGUUGUACCGUUAACGUGGACAAACAUCAGUUUAAUGGUACCAACAACAUGGUCGGAGGUCAGAUUGGUGGUAACUGGACCUGCGGCAGAUAGGGUUUUCUGGUGGAAUCAGCUGGCGAAGACGACAUGGGAAUCAGGUGUAUGAAUGAUAUAUGCUGCAUUAUUGACACCACUUUUAUCUGGGUCUGAAAAAGAAGAUGAUUCCUGGUCUUUCAUGGAAAGCAUGGUUCAUCGCACCAAGAAGCAAAUAAUUUCAUCCAACUCCCUGAACUAUCUUUUCAUCCUUUUACAUCUUUAAUUUCUUUCCUUUUGCGUCAUCAUCAUUAAACUCUUAAGCAUUAAAUCAAAA